rnacentral:rRNA from 1 species
UACGAAGGGUGCAAGCGUUAAUCGGAAUUACUGGGCGUAAAGCGUGCGUAGAUGGUUCAUUAAGUCGGAUGUGAAAGCCCCGGGCUCAACCUGGGAAUGGCAUCCGAUACUGGUGGACUAGAGUGCAGUAGAGGAGAGCGGAAUUCCCGGUGUAGCGGUGAAAUGCGUAGAGAUCGGGAGGAACAUCCGUGGCGAAGGCGGCUCUCUGGACCAGCACUGACGUUGAGGCACGAAAGCGUGGGGAGCAAACAGG